rnacentral:rRNA from 1 species
GACGUACGAGGCGAGCGUUAUCCGGAAUUACUGGGCGUAAAGCGUGCGUAGGCGGUGAUGUAAGACAGAUGUGAAAUCCCCGGGCUCAACCUGGGAACUGCAUUUGUGACUGCAUCGCUGGAGUGCGGCAGAGGGGGAUGGAAUUCCGCGUGUAGCAGUGAAAUGCGUAGAUAUGCGGAGGAACACCGAUGGCGAAGGCAAUCCCCUGGGCCUGCACUGACGCUCAUGCACGAAAGCGUGGGGAGCAAACAGG